UGUUGGACCAAAUAGUCUCUAGAGGUCCAACAACUGCAAUCUGCCAUGAAUUGGCACCCAUAGGCCACAGUCCCACACGGUGGCGGACGCGGGCGUGCUAGGGUUGAGCGGCUACACGAGCGUGCUAGGGUUGAGCGGGGCUCCGCGGGCGUGCUAAGGUUUCGCGAGCAUGGCGGUGGCCGGCGAGCAGGUGAGGGCUCCCGCCUCUAAUUCCCUCCCGAGCUCCUCGAGCGGCCAAGCGUCUGUGUGUGGCCGUGUGGGCGAACCACAUGCGCCAGCCACCGUGCGCCCUGGGUGAGCACGUGAGGCCAGAGGAGAAGCGCAUGUACAAGCAGCUGCGCCAGUUUAGCGCGAGACUGCAGGGUAGUAGGCAAGCCGCGAGCGUGUGACUGCAGCUGCUAGCCAAGUGAGCGUGCCACUACAGGACAGCAAACAACGACGACAGCAAGCAAGUAAGCAAUGAGCAAGUUUUAUGUCUAUAAUUAAGGAUCCUGAUCCCCGAUGUUAGGAGAAAUUAGAAAAAUCUACUUAGGCGAACAAGGGUGUUAACUUGGCUACCUUGUAAUGUUUAUGUUGUAUUCGUGGUGCAGAAAAGUAUUGUUCUGGAUAUUAUCUUGAAACUUUUGCUCAACCAACCUUUUGAGAAGAUUCCCUAUGCAGCUUCUGAAUAUCAUAUGGUUCUUUCCUUAGCAUCGAAAGAUAAAUUUUUCCUAAUGUAGCAUUGGAUUCAUUCUUGGUUUAUUAUAUAGGACUGUCGUCGAAUGCAACCUGUGACACCAUCAACUAUAAGGAGAAAAGACCAUCCAGUUUACCCUUGUUUUAUGUGUAGCAUCAACCUGUUAAUAUUGAAAUUUCGUUCCUCACCCCACGUGGAUUGAAUAUAUAUGGGUGCCUAACGUUUAAAUGAUAUAUCCCAAAAAUAAGGACUUUAACCCACAAGUUAAUUAACGAGGACCAAUCUGAGUUGGCUAACGAGGACAAUAAUUCAGUCCUUCUCUUCCAUAUUCUUUUUUUAUUGUGAUGAGAGCUUGGCAACACUCUACUGUAACUGGUUUCUUAAACUAGAGGAUAACUUUGGUUGCAGAUGAUCCGUUCAGCAUGUGCUCCCUAUUCGAAGUCCCCUGGUACACUUUUUUUCCUAAAAUUCCCAGAGUCCUUAUCUGUCGGGAAUUUUGGAUGGAGGGAGUAGUAUCUUGGGCUGAUGAGGAUACUCUGAUUGUUCAUGUUCCAUAAGUUUUGUUAUAUUGCGGUGAGAGUUUUUGAGAAUGUUCUUCUAUUUUUGUUCUCUCAAACUGGAUGUUAAUUUCUGAUUCAAAUUCUCCUGUGUUAUGCAUGUGCUCCUUGUGCAGAGUUGGUACAUUUCCUACAUUAUAUACCUACUUAUUCAUUUCAAGUUAUCUUUACUGAAUAUUUGUUUGUUUGUUUGUUUAUGAAACUGUUGUAUCAUUGUGGCCAUAAGUUAUUUUGGGGGAUAACUUUGGUUGCGGAUGAUUCGUUCAGCAUGUCCUCGUGCUCUUCACAGGGAUCAUGUCCAGACUCACACUGGGCUCGUUGCUCGGCCUUGUUGAGCUAGAGAUCCUCCAACACAGCGGCACCGACACCAAGGCUCAGGCUAGUACGAUCUGAAUCCCUAUCCAUUCCCUGUUGUUACCUCGUUGUGCUCGAUCUGGUUACUGUCCUAUGUGCGGGUUUGUUAUAUUGGUAGUAGGGAUCACAUUGGUGUGGCUGGUUACAUGAAGGAAUGGAGAUGAGAACGUCAUAUACUCUAUCGUAUUCUCAAGUACCUCUGUAAUUUUGAACAUUAGAGCGUCUUUGGUGUAUGGUGGUGAAUUUUUUUCUCGCUCGUAUCGGAAGUCUGCUAGAUUUUGUAAGUGGCAAUAAUGAUAGUGAGGAUAAAAUGUGAUGGUAACACUAACAUUGACAUAUUUUUUACAUGCAGAAGUGUUUGAAAAGGAAAGAGAACAAACAAAAAUGGGUAUAGUCAGGAAUAAGGAAAAGCAUUGUGGAUGGGAUUCAUUCUUUUCUAUGGUUCACCUCGUUCUGGUGAUAUAUGAAAUGGUACAUCAGAUAAGUGGGAAGAGGAAGUAUAAUGCAAUGGAUAAUCAUAAAAAGUGAUCACUCUGGAGUAUCCUGUAUCUACCAUUUUUAUUUACUAGGGUAGAAUGCACUUUCAGUUUUGUCUUACCUAGUAAUCUUUACAGCGUGAAAGGAUCUCUAGCUAGUUGAUUAGCUGGUCUAAGUAGCACUCCUUAGGUUUUUAGUUUGACUCCCCGUAUAAAAAAAUUUAGGCUGGGUUAAAAAAUCUCCUGAUUUGUCCCAUGACAAACCAUUGUUCUAAGCCUCGACCCCGGUAAUGUCUUGGUCAUUCUCAAAUGGGCUACGAUGUCGCUGCUACGCCAAAGCAUAGGUCUAAGACUCGACCCUGCUGUCGGCCUUCCAGUUGUUCAAAAGCAACACCAGCUUCAUGUCACCCUAUUGUUGUGUAAUGUUGCUGCCAUGGAGGCUUAUUUCUCCCAGUUGCUACUAGUUUCUUUCAUCAUCCAACUGCAGCACGACCAAUAUGUGUUAGUCCAAUUACAUCAUAUGGUGUAUGUAUAUCUGAUCGAUAUUAUUUUUCCAGUCCUAAAUCUACUAUCACACUUCUCAUACUAGUGUUCUUUCACCAGUUGAUACUCUUAUACCUUAUUCCUUUCUUAUUUCACAUGUUGUUUUUUCUGAUACCUUUCGCACUCCAUUCUGUUUUAACCAUUGACUUUUAUGUUUACCUCGUUGCAACCUUUUCAGGCACUUCCUAUAUUUUUGAUAGAAUGUUUCAUCAUGUUCUUUUUGUAUUAUUGUCAGCGACAUUUGUUCUUGCCUUUGGAGAGGGAUCAUGUCUAGGCUCACAACGGGGCUCAUGUUGCUCGGCCUCGUCGAGCUGGAGAUCCUCAAAUGUAGCAGCAAAAGCAUCUCAGGAGACCAUUAAUAGUAUGAAGAGAUCGAUCGAAGAAAAUAACCUCCUUCAUCAACUAUUAAGCUUCAAUCGAGGCCAAGUGCCUCCAUCUUAAGUCUAACUAACCACUAUAGGGCCUACAACCUUAUAGCUGUUAUAGUAGCUUGUUACAGUAGCUCUAGAUUUGAAGUUAUAUGAUUAUUUCAAUUAUGCUUAAUGUAUAAUACUUUGAGUUGAAGUUAUAGGAUUUGAUUUGGAUUUUAAGUUAAAGAAUUUGCAGAUAUAUGUUUUGAAGUUAUAUAAUUCUCUCAUGGAUGAAAUAUUUGUGUUCAACAUAUUCA